rnacentral:rRNA from 1 species
CUUCGGGGACAUUGGUGACAGGUGGUGCAUGGUUGUCGUCAGCUCGUGUCGUGAGAUGUUGGGUUAAGUCCCGCAACGAGCGCAACCCUUGUCUUUAGUUGCCAUCAUUAAGUUGGGCACUCUAGAGAGACUGCCAGGGAUAACCUGGAGGAAGGUGGGGAUGACGUCAAAUCAUCAUGCCCCUUAUGCUUAGGGCUACACACGUGCUACAAUGGGUAGUACAGAGGGUUGCCAAGCCGUAAGGUGGAGCUAAUCCCUUAAAGCUACUCUCAGUUCGGAUUGUAGGCUGAAACUCGCCUACAUGAAGCUGGAGUUACUAGUAAUCGCAGAUCAGAAUGCUGCGGUGAAUGCGUUCCCGGGUCUUGUACACACCGCCCGUCACACCACGGGAGUUGGAGACGCCCGAAGCCGAUUAUCUAACCUGUUGGAAGAAGUCGUCGAAGGUGGAAUCAAUAACUGGGGUGAAGUCGUAACAAGGUAGCCGUAUCGGAAGGUGCGGCUGGAUCACCUCCUUUCUAAGGA